UACGAAGGGGGCUAGCGUUGUUCGGAAUUACUGGGCGUAAAGCGCACGUAGGCGGAUAUUUAAGUCAGGGGUGAAAUCCCGGAGCUCAACUCCGGAACUGCCUUUGAUACUGGGUAUCUUGAGUUCGAGAGAGGUGAGUGGAAUUCCGAGUGUAGAGGUGAAAUUCGUAGAUAUUCGGAGGAACACCAGUGGCGAAGGCGGCUCACUGGCUCGAUACUGACGCUGAGGUGCGAAAGCGUGGGGAGCAAACAGG
rnacentral:rRNA from 1 species